AUUAUUAUUUAUUUUCUUUAGGCUCCACAUUUAACAUGGGUUACAUAUGUCACUUCAGAUAAUAAGCAAAUAGUUAUCAAACAUCAAAACUUGAGUCUUUGGACUUUCAAAUAAUGCAUGAUUUGUCAAGAGUAAUGUUGGAUUUAAUUAUAAAAUGUCAUUCUAAACAACAAACUGUGAUACAGUAUACUGUAUCAAUACAAUACAAUACACACUGUCCAGCUAGAAAAGUUUCCAUUUAAUACAAAAUUGAUUGAGUUUAAGAUUUAUCACAUGAUUAAUUUCUGACUAUUUAACAUAACAUAAACCAUAAUUCAUUUCUCUUUACUGCAGGAUCUUUGUCCUGCCCCUCUGAUCCUCUCAAGAUAUGUUGACAGUGAUGAAGCUCCAGUCGACUUCAUGGAGGAUGAACUACUUCUUCAGCAAGGGAUAAUGGAUGAACGCAUAAAAGGAGUAAAAGCUGUAGAGUGUUUGGAGACCGUGCUGCCUGCUGUUGUCGAGCGAUGAUGCUCACGUGAUCCUGUCACUGAUAGUGGAGCCUUAACUAGCAGAAGCAGAGACGGUUUGUGCAACAGCAACAAGGUGCGGGUCCAAACCCAUCUGUCAAGACACUUGUCCACUUGCUGUCCGCCCCACCAGCCCAACGAUUGUGCUGGAGAACCACAAGUCACAGAAAAAGAGAAUGUCAUAAUCAACUGGAACAGCAUGAGGUGGUAGAGACAGAGAAGAAGUGCCCUUGACGAGGAAACCAUGGCAGCCAUAUAUACGUCAAGAAGAGAUUUCCAAAUGUGUCCAAAGAGGCUUUGAGGAUUUGACGUGGGGAAAAUGUGAAUGUAUUUUCUUGGGUUGAAAUAUAUGUAAGGCAAAAUAUAUUUUUAAAUGCUUUUGUAAAAUAUAUUUUGAAAAUAUAUUUUUUUUUAAA